GACGAACGCUGGCGGCGUGCUUAACACAUGCAAGUCGAACGAGACGAUUGAAAGCUUGCUUUUGAAAGUCGAGUGGCAAACGGGUGAGUAACGCGUAGACAACCUGCCUUUGAGAUGGGGACAACAGUUCGAAAGGACUGCUAAUACCGAAUGUUGUAUAUUUUCCACAUGGAAGAUAUAUUAAAGAUGGCCUCUAUUUAUAAGCUAUCGCUCAAGGAUGGGUCUGCGUCUGAUUAGCUGGUCGGUGGGGUAACGGCCUACCAAGGCGACGAUCAGUAGCCGGUCUGAGAGGAUGAACGGCCACAUUGGGACUGAGACACGGCCCAGACUCCUACGGGAGGCAGCAGUGGGGAAUCUUCCACAAUGGACGAAAGUCUGAUGGAGCAACGCCGCGUGAGUGAAGAAGGGUUUCGGCUCGUAAAGCUCUGUUGUCGGGGACGAAUGUGCAGUAUUUGAAUAAAGUACUGUAAUGACGGUACCUGACGAGGAAGCCACGGCUAACUACGUGCCAGCAGCCGCCGUAA
rnacentral:rRNA from 1 species